UACGUAGGGUGCAAGCGUUAUUCGGAAUCACUGGGCGUAAAGGGCGCGUAGGCGGCGCGUAAAGUCGGACAUGAAAUCAUUAGGCUCAACCUAAUGGCUGUGUCCGAUACUUACGUGCUUGGAGUGCGGGAGAGGCAGCCGGAAUUCUCGGUGUAGCGGUGAAAUGCGUAGAUAUCGAGAGGAACACCGGUGACGAAGGUGGGUUGCUGGACCGACACUGACGCUGAGGCGCGAAAGCUAGGGGAGCAAACGGG
rnacentral:rRNA from 1 species